rnacentral:lncRNA from 1 species
UUUCUCCAUCAGAGAACAUCUUUAUUUUUCCUUCAUUCUUGAAUGAUAUUCUCAUUGAAUAUAGAAUUCUGGGUUGACAGGCAGGUCUUCUCUUUCAGCACUUUAAAAAUGUUGUUUCACUGUCUUCUGGUCUCCAUUGUUCCUGAUGAAAAAUCAGCACACAUUUGGAUCUUUGUCCUCUAAAGCACUCCUCUGCAACCUUCCCACAGAACAGACUUCUAAAGGAAACAUUUGGCCAGAGGACAAGGCCCAGCAAACAUGCAUUCUUUUUACUACUAUUCCAGUAUAACUCCUGAAACUCAUGGCACUAAAAAAUACUUACCAUGUAAAUAUUGACUGACUGGACAAUGAAAGUGAAGAAUGAAAUGGUAUUAUUCAACAAAAGGAUAUUAGUAACUACAAUAUGCUUCUUAGACAGGUAAGCUUGAUCAGUUAUAACCAUUUGCAAACACUGAAAGGAAUUGCAUGAGUAUAUUGGUAUCUCUGAGAAUAAUUUGGUGAUAUAAAAACCCAGCAAAACAAUAAAUCGAUAGAAAAACUUACAGGAUG